UAUAAAUUUCGGUGACUGAAUACGACCAUUGCAAAAUCAAGCGAAGAAGGAGACCCUCUCUCUCUCUCUCGCUCUCUCGCCGAGCUUGUAAAAGCCCUAGCUGAAGGAAUCUUAUGGAGGCAAAGUACAAAACACAUAGGCAAAGGAAAGUGGUCAUUCUGGACUUGUGGCGUUCUGGAUCCCCCAAAUUCGUCAGGUUCUUUCAGGCUAAUCAUCAGGUGUGAAUUUGAUAUGCUGCAGGGCUGCAGGGCUGCAAGAUGUGAUUUACACUUCCACUCAUUUGUCAUUCCAAUGGUGGGACUUUUUAGCUACACCAAUGAGGAUUUGUUCUACUGAUACUCUAUUUCGACUUUCCAGCAUGCAGUCAUGAACAGGAUUAGCAGUGUUACACAAAGAUAUGAAGCGUCACUUCCAGGUGGUGGUGGAGAUGGAGUGGUCCCGGUGGUUGGGGCUGGCAGCUACCAGACGGACGGAGUUUUGGCAUUAGUUAAGACAAAACGUUGAUUAGGCGUUCCCAGGUUCUCCAGAGGCAAAGGGUCAGUGGAUCCUUCAACUUUGAAGAUUCCGCGGGAAACAAAUUGCUGUGAGUCGCGAGAAUGUAGUUGAGAUUUGCAGGACCUUUCGAGUUCGAAACAUCUGGGGCUAUCAUGUGUUGCCAAUCACAAGAGUCUGAUAUUCGUGGUUGCACUUCCCUUGGAAGAUUAUUGGAUCUAUCAUGCUUGAAAACCCUGAUAAUACUGAACAUCAACCACUGUGAAGAGCAAGAUGAUAUUCAAAGCCUAGAGGCACACUGGCUUAUAUGUGAUAUUAAUACGGUUGAAAUUACAGAAUGUUGAAAGAACAAGCAGAUCUUUAAGAAAAUCCCUUUGACCUAGUCAUCUCAGUUUCUUAAGGUAAUUUGGUGAUUGACAUGUGGAUUAUUAAGGAAGCUUCUGGAGGCAAAGUACAAAAACACAUAGGUGAAGGAGAGUGGUCAUGCUGCUGGACUUGUGGCACUCUGGAUUCCCAAAACUCAUCGGGUUCUUUCAAGCUAAUCAUCAGGCAUGAAUUUGAUAUGCUGCAAGGUUGCAAGAGAAGCUUCUGGAGGCAGAGUACAAAAUCACAUAGGCAAGGAAGAGCGGUCAUGCUGCUGGGCUUGCGGCCCUCGGGAUCCCCACAAUGCAUUGGGUUCUUUCAAGCUAAUCAUCAGGACUAGCAGUGUUACACGGAGAUAUGAAGUGUCACUUCCAGGUGGUGGCGGAGAUGGAGUGGUCCCAGUGGUUGGGGCUGGUAGCUACAGGGAUCCAGCUAGACUGGAGUUGGGGGCAGUGUAAUUUUCACUGACAGUGACAGCUAAUUUUUGGCCUUGAGAGCAACGAUCACUGUUAGCAUAGGUGUAGACAGAGAUGCCCGCAGGGGUUCCCUUAACAUCGCAAGCAUAACUGUCAGACAGUCUACUGGGGCAUCAUUACGUUUUGGAGCAAGUUGAUGAUGAGGAAGCUGAGAUGGUUUUGAUUGGAAGGAUUUUGUCGAAGAAGUGCUUGAGUCAAGCUGCGUAACUGAUGUCUCAAGGAAAGCCUGGGCUGGUCUUGGGUGGGAUAACUAUAAAAUGAGAAGAUGUAUUUGUUUACGUUCCAUGGAUUGGCACCAAGCAGAGAGUCCUCACUUCUGGCCCUUGGUCAAUCAUGGGAAAUUGCAUAGACUUGCAGAGAUGGGAUGCUUAGAGGAGACAGGAGGACCUCUGUUUUCGUGAACUGGAGGUGUGGCUGCAAAUACAUAGAUUGGCCUUCAACCAAAUGACAGAACAAUGCGAAACCUAUUGCUUGUUUGGCACACAAACUGGUGAAAGUUGAGUCAAUUCACACCAAAUCUCGGGGUCGCCUUCGUGCUAAAGUCGCAUUCAUGUUCAAAAACCCCUCGUACCUGCAACGUGGAGUGUUAGGGAUAGUCGUGGCAUUGGGUAGAGAUUCGAUACGGGUUAACACCAAACUUUAGUUGUUCUUGUAAUCAUUGGCCACACUGGGAAGCUAUGUGACAAUGAAGUUCUUAUGUCUGCAGCUGUGGUUAGACAACCUAGAUAUGAUCCUUGUAAUCUCAUGGGGUUUAAGUUCGCUACACUUGACAAGAAGCAUUAAUUUCAAGAAAAACAUAUGUGAAUUGCACCAGCA